GUCGGGAUAGCUCAGCUGGUAGAGCAGAGGACUGAAAAUCU
rnacentral:tRNA from 1 species